UACGGAGGGUGCAAGCAUUAAUCGGAUUUAUUGGGCGUAAAGGGCGUGUAGGCGGGUUUGUAAGUCAGAUGUGAAAUCCCGGAGCUUAACUCCGGAACAGCAUUUGAAACUGCAGAUCUUGAGGGUAGGCGGGGAAAACAGAAUUCCACAAGUAGCGGUGAAAUGCGUAGAUAUCGUAAGGAAGACCAGUGGCGAAGGCGGGUCUCUGGACAAUUCCUGACGCUGAGGCACGAAGGCCAGGGGAGCAAACGGG
rnacentral:rRNA from 1 species